UAGAUACCCGGGUAGUCCACGCCGUAAACGAUGAAUGCUAGGUGUUAGGGGUUAAGACACCCUUGGUGCCGAAGUUAACACAUUAAGCAUUCCGCCUGGGGAGUACUGUCGCAAGACUGAAACUCAAAGGAAUUGACGGGGACCCGCACAAGCAGUGGAGCAUGUGGUUUAAUUCGAAGCAACGCGAAGAACCUUACCAGGCCUUGACAUCCCUCUGAAUACUCUGGAGACAGGGUAGGCCCUUAUGGGACAGAGGAGACAGGUGGUGCAUGGCCGCCGUCAG
rnacentral:rRNA from 1 species